UGGGGAAUAUUGCACAAUGGGCGCAAGCCUGAUGCAGCAACGCCGCGUGAACGAUGAAGGUCUUCGGAUCGUAAAGUUCUGUUGCAGGGGAAGAUAAUGACGGUACCCUGUGAGGAAGCCCCGGCUAACUACGUGCCAGCAGCCGCGGUAAUACGUAGGGGGCUAGCGUUAUCCGGAUUUACUGGGCGUAAAGGGUGCGUAGGUGGUCUUUCAAGUCGGUGGUUAAAGGCUACGGCUCAACCGUAGUUAGCCUCCGAAACUGGAAGACUUGAGUUCAGGAGAGGAAAGUGGAAUUCCCAGUGUAGCGGUGAAAUGCGUAGAUAUUGGGAGGAACACCAGUAGCGAAGGCGGCUUUCUGGACUGCAACUGACACUGAGGCACGAAAGCGUGGGUAGCAAACAGG
rnacentral:rRNA from 1 species